AGGGCGCGAAGGAGGGGGUUGGGGCAGACUAGUAAAGGGCAGAAGAGCCUUGCCCAGAGGGCAACCAUGAGGGCCUGUGACCAGCCUCCAUGGGGGUCCUUUCAGAGGGACGCACUCUCCAUGAGCAUCUGGGCUGCUCUCUGCUCCCCAGUGACCGGGGCGAGGACCUAGGGCAGCAGCUGGGAACGUUUCGGAAGCCACUUGGGGACAAUCCUGUUUCUCUAAGGGCUGGAGGGAGGGAUCAGGUGUUGGGACCUUCUGACUUUGUAAAUGUCAGGAAUGAAUUUAAAUUCCUGCCUCUGUCUCCUAACUGGUGGCACAGGUGAUCCGAGGCAGGGUUGGAAGAAGGUACAGACGGUGCCGAAGGUGAGGAUUGUGUGUCACCGUGGGUUGCAAAGUGAGAUGAAAUUAACACACGGAAAGUGGUCAGGAAGCCAGCUUCCGGGGCUUUCACGGCUUGGCCAAGGCCCUGAUCAUUGUGUGACAGAGACGCUCCACGUGCCCUUCCACCCGAGGAGCCGCCUGGCUCUCUUCUGCUUUUCCUGUCCCUGCAACACAAACAGCAGCUCUUGACGGGACAGGAGGGUGCUCCCUGGCGCUUUCCAGCGUGUUUCGUAUCGGGGGUAAAGGAGGAGUUUACGUUGACAUUAGGAAAUCCCCCCCUUUGGAGAAGGUGGGUCAUGAACGUUUUGUGGACAUCUGGAUCUCUAUCUAGUGACAGCAAGAUGAAGGUGCUGCCCCGUGGUAGAAUGAAGAUGUCGAAAGACCAAAUGCCCGAUUUCACCUACACCAGCUGCUGGGAAGCAAGAACUUCUCCGAGUCGCUUUUCCUUCUCAACUCGCUGACACCUGUAAGACUUACUCAGACAAUCUCCAUCUCAUCAAGCCCAACAUGUGCACCUUGGCAGAUAUGUUCCUGUUGACACUUGUCUUGUCCUGUUCUCACUCACGGAGUCUGGUUUCCAUGCCUGUGGGGACUCUUUCCAUGCUGGUCAUUGCGUUUUCAGAAUGAUUUACUAAAGUAAUGGGAGGUUGAGGAGGAAGGCAGUUCCUGGUGGAAACGGUUGGUGUGGACGGGUGCUUGGCCACAUCAUGGACUGAAGACCACACUGUACCAAGUCCAAAGCUCCAAAUAAACUGGGCUCACCAGGUUUAAAAAGACAAAAUUCAGCACGCCUUGGGAGAGGUCAUUGCCUUCUACCCUGAAACAUGAAGCCGUGGUGGUAGCAGCCCAAUUCCAUAAGGUGCUCAUCGAGGAAGCUCCCCCCACUCCAGCUAGCCAAUCGCAGCGAGUGGUUGAUGUAAACAUAAAUUGGAAACCAGGCAAGGGUGUGCAGAAUGGAUGCAUCUGUUCAGCCCUUU